AAAGGUAAGCUACUAAGAGCGAAUGGUGGAUGCCUUGACUGGUAAAGGCGAUGAAGGACGUACUAGACUGCGAUAAGCUACGGGGAGCUGUCAAGAAGCUUUGAUCCGUAGAUUUCCGAAUGGGGCAACCCAAUGUAUAGAGAUAUACAUUACCUAUAUAGGAGCGAACGAGGGGAAUUGAAACAUCUUAGUACCCUCAGGAAAAGAAAUCAAUAGAGAUUGCGUCAGUAGCGGCGAGCGAAAGCGCAAGAGGGCAAACCCAGUGCUUGCACUGGGGGUUGUAGGACUGCAAUGUGCAAGAGCUGAGUUUAGCAGAACAUUCUGGAAAGUAUAGCCAUAGAGGGUGAUAGUCCCGUAUGCGAAAAACAAAGCUUAGCUAGCAGUAUCCUGAGUAGGGCGGGACACGAGAAAUCCUGUCUGAAUCCGGGUCGACCACGAUCCAACCCUAAAUACUAAUACCAGAUCGAUAGUGCACAAGUACCGUGAGGGAAAGGUGAAAAGAACUGAGGUGAUCAGAGUGAAAUAGAACCUGAAACCAUUUGCUUACAAUCAUUCAGAGCACUAUGUAGCAAUACAG
rnacentral:rRNA from 1 species